GCAUAACGCGAAGAACCUUACCAAGGCUUGACAUACACGAGAACGGGCCAGAAAUGGUCAACUCUUUGGACACUCGUGAACAGGUGGUGCAUGGUUGUCGUCAGCUCGUGUCGUGAGAUGUUGGGUUAAGUCCCGCAACGAGCGCAACCCUCGUCGCAUGUUGCCAGCACGUUAUGGUGGGGACUCAUGUGAGACUGCCGGGGUCAACUCGGAGGAAGGUGGGGAUGACGUCAAAUCAUCAUGCCCCUUAUGUCUUGGGCUUCACGCAUGCUACAAUGGCCGGUACAAAGGGCUGCGAUGUCGUAAGGCGGAGCGAAUCCCAAAAAGCCGGUCUCAGUUCGGAUUGAGGUCUGCAACUCGACCUCAUGAAGUCGGAGUCGCUAGUAAUCGCAGAUCAGCAACGCUGCGGUGAAUACGUUCCCGGGUCUUGUACACACCG
rnacentral:rRNA from 1 species